GACGUAGGGAGCGAGCGUUGUCCGGAUUCAUUGGGCGUAAAGGGUCCGUAGGCGGCUCAGCAAGUCGGGUGUGAAAUCUCCAGGCUCAACCUGGAGGGGCCACUCGAUACUGCUGUGGCUUGAGUCCAGUAGGGGAGCAUGGAAUUCCCGGUGUAGCGGUGAAAUGCGCAGAUAUCGGGAGGAACACCAGUGGCGAAGGCGGUGCUCUGGGCUGGAACUGACGCUGAUGGACGAAAGCGUGGGUAGCAAACAGG
rnacentral:rRNA from 1 species